rnacentral:rRNA from 1 species
GAUGAACGCUGGCGGCGUGCCUAAUACAUGCAAGUCGAGCGAACAGACGAGGAGCUUGCUCCUCUGACGUUAGCGGCGGACGGGUGAGUAACACGUGGAUAACCUACCUAUAAGACUGGGAUAACUUCGGGAAACCGGAGCUAAUACCGGAUAAUAUAUUGAACCGCAUGGUUCAAUAGUGAAAGACGGUUUUGCUGUCACUUAUAGAUGGAUCCGCGCCGCAUUAGCUAGUUGGUAAGGUGACGGCUUACCAAGGCAACGAUGCGUAGCCGACCUGAGAGGAUGAUCGGCCACACUGGAACUGAGACACGGUCCAGACUCCUACGGGAGGCAGCAGUAGGGAAUCUUCCGCAAUGGGCGAAAGCCUGACGGAGCAACGCCGCGUGAGUGAUGAAGGUCUUCGGAUCGUAAAACUCUGUUAUUAGGGAAGAACAAAUGUGUAAGUAACUAUGCACGUCUUGACGGUACCUAAUCAGAAAGCCACGGCUAACUACGUG